GGGAUCUGGUGCGGUGGAGCUGGUGCGGGCCCCCCUGCGGGUGUAGACUGGGAAAUGCUGGUCGGGGAGUCAGUACUUAACCCCCUUCUCUCACUCCACCUGCUCCUCCUCCACGCGCGACAGUGUGCGAGUACGGGGACCCUUAUAUCAGAACAAGAGAUGUACUGGUCUCUGAGUAUGUCGAGCCGCAGGGGGCGCGGGGGAGCCAGAGGGGCUCUGAAGGCUUGGCAAAGUUGGGCUUGUGCGUGUGUGCGCCAGCCAUAGCUAGCAGGCAGCCACUGUGGUUCCCCCUCGCACUUCCCCUCGGGAGAUUUCCCGAGAAGGCGGACGCUGGCUUCGGCCUGGGACAGACCUGCGGCGGCGGGAACGGCCACGCACAGAGAGUGACAGGUGGAACAGAUGCACUUGAUUUAAUAAAAAACUUCUCAAUGCAUGAGGAAUGUGGGACCAACAUAAAACAGUGUUUGUUCUGGGCCCCAUAUCAUUUGGGAUGAAUCGAAAAUAUGUCACAGGAAAUCUUAUUUCUCCUGGGAUAUAUGUUGAAGAAAGCUACUGGUUCAUUCACACAUGGGUACCUUCAACUCUAAGUGAUCCUAAGAUCGCGUGGAGAGUCUUCUGGGGACAAUAGGACUGUCUGCUGAGUUCGUGCCCAAGGUGACCUGGAGCUGGAGCUGACAGGAAAGGAAGUGUUUGGUUUUGAUUCCAGAUCUACUUGUGUUGUACAUUAUAAGGAAUACUCUGGUAUAUGAAUUGAUGAACUAAGUGGAAAAUGGAAGAAAUAAACCAACCAGCGUCCUCCCUAAAGAAUCAAAACCUUCUGACAUUCUAGAUGUGACUACAGAGAAGAGGAUGAGUGGUUUGCAAACAGUAAGUGAAUGUUUUCUUAUCUUUUCCUAUAUCCUGUUUAUUCAAGCCAAUAUGCUAGCUGCUCUUUUUUGUCUCCACAUUUACAUACUCAGGUUUGUCUACUUUUCUUCAUGUUUUAGGAAUACGAGACUUAUGGACACCAAUAAUCAGAAUUAGGAUUUUCUAUAGAGGAAUUUUAAUCCAGCAACAUGGCUGCUCUGGCAAGGGAUUACAUCCAAAGACCCUCUAAGUCUAUGUGAUCUGGUUGCAAUGUCAAAAAUAGGAUAUGCCCAA